rnacentral:rRNA from 1 species
GAAAGAGAAAUCGGUGAGAGAUGGAUCCGCGUCCGAUUAGCUAGUUGGAGGGGUAACAGCCCACCAAGGCGACGAUCGGUAGCCGACCUGAGAGGGUGGACGGCCACAUUGGGACUGAGACACGGCCCAAACUCCUACGGGAGGCAGCAGUGGGGAAUAUUGCACAAUGGGGGAAACCCUGAUGCAGCAACGCCGCGUGAGUGAGGAAGUAUUUCGGUAUGUAAAGCUCUAUCAGCAGGGAAUAGAAAAGAAGGUACCUGAAAAAGAAGCCCCGGCUAACUACGUGCCAGCAGCCGCGGUAAUACGUAGGGGGCAAGCGUUAUCCGGAUUUACUGGGUGUAAAGGGAGCGUAGACGGAAAGGCAAGUCAGAAGUGAAAACCCAAGGCUCAACCAUGGGACUGCUUUUGAAACUGUCAAACUAGAGUACGGGAGAGGUAAGAGGAAUUCCUAGUGUAGCGGUGAAAUGCGUAGAUAUUAGGAGGAACACCAGUGGCGAAGGCGUCUUACUGGACCGAAACUGACGUUGAGGCUCGAAAGCGUGGGGAGCAAACAGGAUUAGAUACCCUGGUAGUCCACGCGGUAAACGAUGAAUACUAGGUGUUGGGGUAAAGAAACCUCG